rnacentral:rRNA from 1 species
CCUACGGGAGGCAGCAGUGAGGAAUAUUGGUCAAUGGACGAGAGUCUGAACCAGCCAAGUAGCGUGAAGGAUGACUGCCCUAUGGGUUGUAAACUUCUUUUAUAUGGGAAUAAAACGUUCCACGUGUGGGAUUUUGUAUGUACCAUAUGAAUAAGGAUCGGCUAACUCCGUGCCAGCAGCCGCGGUAAUACGGAGGAUCCGAGCGUUAUCCGGAUUUAUUGGGUUUAAAGGGAGCGUAGGUGGAUUGUUAAGUCAGUUGUGAAAGUUUGCGGCUCAACCGUAAAAUUGCAGUUGAAACUGGCAGUCUUGAGUACAGUAGAGGUGGGCGGAAUUCGUGGUGUAGCGGUGAAAUGCUUAGAUAUCACGAAGAACUCCGAUUGCGAAGGCAGUUCACUGGACUGCAACUGACACUGAGGCUCGAAAGUGUGGGUAUCAAACAGGGUUAGAUACCCCAGUAGUC